rnacentral:rRNA from 1 species
UACGUAGGGGGCAAGCGUUGUCCGGAAUCAUUGGGCGUAAAGAGCGUGUAGGCGGCCAGAAAAGUCCGCUGUGAAAACUCGAGGCUCAACUUCGAGCUGUCGGUGGAAACUUUCUGGCUAGAGUCCGGAAGAGGAGAAUGGAAUUCCUGGUGUAGCGGUGAAAUGCGCAGAUAUCAGGAGGAACACCGGUGGCGAAGGCGGGUCUUUGGGCAACAACUGACGCUGAGGAGCGAAAGCGUGGGGAGCGAACAGG